rnacentral:rRNA from 1 species
GAAUUUAAUAUAAUAGUUAAAUUUGUUUGAGGAAAUAAGUUUAAUUUUAAUAAUUAUAUUUUAUUGGGAGGAUAAUUAAAUAAGAUAAACUUUAAUUUUAAGAUAAUUUUAACAUUAAUUAAUGAAAUUUGUGUAAGGAUUAAUUAUUGAUAGAUAAAGAUUUUUUUUUAAAAAAAUAAUUAUUAUAAGAAUUAAUUACCUUAGGGAUAACAGCGUAAUAUUUUUAGAAAGAUCAUAUUAAUAAAAAUGAUUGC